UCUCGGGAGACAGACGGGCUAGAGGUGGAGACAGAGGACGUCUCGAGAGACAGACGGGCUAGAGGUGGAGGCAGAGGACGUUAACCAAACAGGCCACUCCUGAAGUUUUUAAAGUUUUAAAAUUGGAGUAAGCUGACACAUAUGUGCAUCACCAAGCUGAGUAACCACUUCAUUACCAAAGAUACCAAACAAGAUUUAUCUAAGAAAACCAAGAGAACAGAAUGGAGGAAGAGAGGAAGAGAGACAGAGGAAGAGACAAGAGUCAACAUUAUCACUUUUAAUGGCUGGAGAGAUCUCAGAGAAGAGAUGGGACGAAGACCAUCCUGGAUUAGCCGUUGCUAGGGGAUGAAGACAGCUAAUCAAACCUCCCGAUCAGUUUUAUUAGCUGCCGAUACGCUAAUAACUCAGAGCUCAUGUUAAACGUCUAAAUAAACACAAUCAGACAUGCUGCUCAGAUUUUUGUUGUGAUCAAAUAAAAACCAGUUUUCUGUG